GCCGCUGUAGCGUAACAGAUAGCGCGACUGUGUCCUAAGCAGUGUCCGUAUCCGUGCAACUCGGGUCAGCGGCGCCA
rnacentral:tRNA from 1 species